rnacentral:ncRNA from 1 species
UCCCUGCUUUUCCUCCCUGAGCAGGAGCCUUAGCGUCAUGACAGCGAUAGGGCUUUCUCACCCCGGCCUUGAGCCGGGGUUUUUUUU